rnacentral:tRNA from 1 species
AGGAAUGUAGCUCAGUGGCACAGCGCCUGUCUGGCAAGCACGAGGUCCUGAGUUUGAUUCCC